rnacentral:lncRNA from 1 species
CAGACUCAUGCGCUUGUUAUCCCAGUACUGGGGAAGCAGGAGGAGGAGGCCGGUGCUCACUGUGCAGCCAGGCCGGGUAGCAAGCCCCAAGCAAGAUAAAGACGACGCUGUUUCAAAUGACAAGGUGGACGGCUCAUGAGAGGCAACCCCUGAAAGUUUUCUUCUGGCUUCCAUAUGUAUACACACACACACACACACACACACACACACACACACACACACACACACUCACAUAUGAAAACAGGAAGGAAGAAAGGAGGGAGGGAAGGAAGAAGGGAGGGAGGGGAGGAAGAGGAGAAGAGAGGAGAGAGCAAGGGAGAUGGCUGCGCAUGUUUAGGAUACUAAAUCUUAAUCUGUAACCUCUUCAAAGAGAUAUUGCAAGUGGCUUCUUGUUCCUGAAAUGACAAAUGGCCCAUUUAAAGCCCCCGGCUUUCUGCAGGUAUGGAAUGGGAGUGUGAGUGUCAUAGGUGAGCGGCUCCUCUGCCCCUCCAUUUCCUUCUCUGCUGUUUAUGUCAUGCUGAUGGAUGCCUCUGCUGCCUUUUGUCUUCUGAGCUGUGACUCUGUUGUGGGGAAGCAGGGGAUUCCCAAGGAAAGCCAAGGCCACCAAGGCCAGCUGGUAAGCCGGGAGUUCUCACCUCUGCUUGUCUCCAGAAAGUGACAGGGCAGACCCACCUGUCUCCUAGAAGCAGAUCCUCAGACAGCCUUCUCGCCAGGCAGGGGUGGGCAUCUUUCAGGUAUAAACUCAGAAUAUCAUCACGGGUGAUGUCAAACCCUGACUAGUGGUGUCUAUUCAGCUCUGUGUGUACACGAGAGAAAGUGUGGCCUCACAUUCCCAAGCCCCACAGGAGUAGAUUUAGAAUGUCAGUGCCUGGUCAUGGCAAUGGCUACUGUUUCUCUUUUCUUUUCUUUUCUUUUCUUUUCUUUUCUUUUCUUUUCUUUUCUUUUCUUUUCUUUUCCUUUCCUUUCCUUUCCUUUCCUUUCUUUUUUCUUUUCUUUUCUUUUUUUCUCUUUUCUUUUUUUCUCUUCUCUUUUCUUCCUUUUCUUUUUUUUACUGGAUAUUUUCUUUAUUUACAUUUCAAAUAUUUUCUUCUUUCCAGAUCUCCCCUUUGGAAACUCCCUAUCCUAUGCCCCCUCCUUCUGCCUCUAUAAAGGUGCUCCCCCACCUACCCACUCCUGCCUUCCUGCCCUGGCAUUCCCAAGGGCCUCUCCUCCUACUGAUGUCCGACAAGUCCAUCCUCUGUGAACUCUUCAGAGAGGCUGUGAACUGGCUAGUUUGUGUCAACUUGACACAGACUAGAGUUAUCACAGAGAAAGGAGCUUCAGUUGGGGAAAUGCCUCCAUGAGAUCCAGCUGUAAGGCAUUUUCUCAGUUAGUGAUCAAGGGGGGAAGGCCCCUUGUGGGUGGGACCAUCUCUGGGCUGGUAGUCUUGGUUCUAUAAGGGAGCAGGCUGAGCAAGCCAGGGGAAGCAAGCCAGUAAGUAACAUCCCUCCAUGGCCUCUGCAUCAGCUCCUGCUUCCUGACCUGUUUGAGUCCCAGUCCUGACUUCCUUGGUGAUGAACAGCAAUGUGGAAGUGUAAACUGAAUAAACCCUUCCCUCCCCAACUUGCUUCUUGGUCAUGAUGUUUGUGCAGGACUAGAAACCCUGACUAAGACACUCUGCCACAUAUGAAGCUGGAGCCAUGGGUCCCUCCAUUGUAGUCUUUGGUUGGUGGUCAAGUCCUCAUGAUCUCUGGGGGUGUCUGGCCUGUUUACAUUGUUGAUACCCCCAUGGGGCUGCAAACCCCCUCAGCUCCUU